GGAGCUCAGAGGAAGAGCACAACCUUGCCAAGGUUGGGGUCGUGGGUUCGAAUCCCAUC
rnacentral:tRNA from 1 species